UUUUUUUCUUCACUCAAUUUUUCUUUCUUUGAGUAUCUCAUUAUGGCAUGAGUCUUUUACUUAGGCAAGUGCUUUUUAUCUCAUCUCCAUUUUUCAUUUCUUUUCUCUUUUUCUUUUCGAUAGAAGUAUAUGUUUCUACAAACCUUUUUUUAUAUUUUGUUGCACUUGCCCUUUUUCAAUUUCUAAGGAUCACCACCCUAAACUUAUCUUUUUGCACGAAUUUGGAACUACAACAGUCAUGCCGAGCGAAGGUAGGAAGUGUUUGGCUUAUGGUUAACAUAAUGGUUUU
rnacentral:lncRNA from 1 species